CCUACGGGAGGCUGCAGUGAGGAAUAUUGGUCAAUGGACGAGAGUCUGAACCAGCCAAGUAGCGUGAAGGAUGACUGCCCUAUGGGUUGUAAACUUCUUUUAUAUGGGAAUAAAAUGUUCCACGUGUGGGCUUUUGUAUGUACCAUAUGAAUAAGGAUCGGCUAACUCCGUGCCAGCAGCCGCGGUAAUACGGAGGAUCCGAGCGUUAUCCGGAUUUAUUGGGUUUAAAGGGAGCGUAGGUGGAUUGUUAAGUCAGUUGUGAAAGUUUGGGGCUCAACCGUAAAAUUGCAGUUGAAACUGGCAGUCUUGAGUACAGUAGAGGUGUGCGGAAUGCGUGGUGUAGCGGUGAAAUGCUUAGAUAUCACGAAGAACUCCGAGUGCGAAGGCAGCUCACUGGACUGCAACUGACACUGAGGCUCGAAAGUGUGGGUAUCAAACAGGAUUAGAUACCCUUGUAGUC
rnacentral:rRNA from 1 species